rnacentral:rRNA from 1 species
GACGUACGCUGGCGGCGUGCUUAACACAUGCAAGUCGAACGGAAAGGCCCUGCUUUUGUGGGGUGCUCGAGUGGCGAACGGGUGAGUAACACGUGAGUAACCUGCCCUUGACUUUGGGAUAACUUCAGGAAACUGGGGCUAAUACCGGAUAGGAGCUCCUGCUGCAUGGUGGGGGUUGGAAAGUUUCGGCGGUUGGGGAUGGACUCGCGGCUUAUCAGCUUGUUGGUGGGGUAGUGGCUUACCAAGGCUUUGACGGGUAGCCGGCCUGAGAGGGGGACCGGCCACAUUGGGACUGAGAUACGGCCCAGACUCCUACGGGAGGCAGCAGUGGGGAAUAUUGCACAAUGGGCGGAAGCCUGAUGCAGCAACGCCGCGUGCGGGAUGACGGCCUUCGGGUUGUAAACCGCUUUCGCCUGUGACGAAGCGUGAGUGACGGUAAUGGGUAAAGAAGCACCGGCUAACUACGUG